rnacentral:rRNA from 1 species
GAGUUUGAUCAUGGCUCAGAACGAACGCUGGCGGCAGGCCUAAUACACGCAAGUCGAGCGGACCUUUCGGGGUCAGCGGCGGACGGGUGAGUAACGCGUGGGAACAUGCCUUUCGGUGCGGAAUAACCGUUGGAAACGGCGGCUAAUGCUGCAUACGCCCUGAGUGGGGAAAGAUUUAUCGCCGAGGGAUUGGCCCGCGUUGGAUUAGGUAGUUGGUGGGGUAAAGGCCUACCAAGCCGACGAUCCAUAGCUGGUCUGAGAGGAUGAUCAGCCACACUGGGACUGAGACACGGCCCAGACUCCUACGGGAGGCAGCAGUAGGGAAUAUUGGACAAUGGGGGAAACCCUGAUCCAGCCAUGCCGCGUGAGUGAAGAAGGCCUUAGGGUUGUAAAGCUCUUUCACUGGCGAGGAUGAUGACGGUAGCCAGAGAAGAAGCCCCGGCAAACUUCGUGCCAGCAGCCGCGGUAAUACGAAGGGGGCGAGCGUUGUUCGGAAUUACUGGGCGUAAAGGGCGCGUAGGCGGCGCGUUGCGUCAGAGGUGAAAGC